CCUUGACAUACUAAGAACUUUCCAGAGAUGGAUUGGUGCCUUCGGGAACUUAGAUACAGGUGCUGCAUGGCUGUCGUCAGCUCGUGUCGUGAGAUGUUGGGUUAAGUCCCGNAACGAGCGCAACCCUUUUCCUAUUUGCCAGCGGGUCAUGCCGGGAACUUUAAGGAUACUGCCAGUGACAAACUGGAGGAAGGCGGGACGACGUCAAGUCAUCAUGGCCCUUACGGCCAGGGCUACACACGUGCUACAAUGGUCGGUACAAAGGGUUGCUACCUCGCGAGAGGAUGCUAAUCUCAAAAAGCCGAUCGUAGUCCGGAUCGCAGUCUGCAACUCGACUGCGUGAAGUCGGAAUCGCUAGUAAUCGCGGAUCAGAAUGCCGCGGUGAAUACGUUCCCGGGCCUUGUACACACCGCCCGUCACACCAUGGGAGUUUGUUGCACCAGAAGUAGGUAGUCUAACCGCAAGGAGGACGCUUACCACGGUGUGGCCGAUGACUGGGGUGAAGUCGUAACAAGGUAAGCGUAGAUGA
rnacentral:rRNA from 1 species